CCUGAGGUUCCACUGGGGAACAGAAACUGGCCCCCUGCCAGCGGGGAGCAUGGACUCUGGGCCCUGGGCUCUGUAACUAGCAGCUGGCAGCAUGAAUGGGAACGGAGUGAGCAGGGUGCACGGGAACGGCCUGCAUGAGGCCAGCGAGUUUUACUAUGAGGCUGUGGAAGGGGCCCACAACCCCGGGGGCCUCCUGCUUUCACCAGCUGCUUUCAUCAACCCUGCUCAGUAUGCCAGCGUGCUGGAAGGACGCUUCAAACAGCUGCAA
rnacentral:lncRNA from 1 species